GUGCUUGCCUCAGCAGUACAUAUAUUAAAACUGGAAUCAUACAGAGGUUAGCAUGACCCCUGUAUAAGGAUGACAGGCAAAUCCUGACAAGUUCUGGCUAUAAAG